AAGAGUGUAAAAACUCCCAAACCCUUGUGAACCUACCUAUAGUCGUGCUUCGGCGGGCAGCCUUCCCCUCGGGGGGGCCUCGCCUCUCUAUGAGAGGUGUCCGUCGGAGGACCACAACCAAACUCUUGCUGAAUUUGUCAUCUCUGAGUAUUAUAUCAAAUGAAUCA
rnacentral:misc_RNA from 1 species